CUUGAGUGCAGGAGAGGAGAGUGGAAUUCCUAGUGUAGCGGUGAAAUGCGUAGAUAUUAGGAGGAACACCAGUUGCGAAGGCGGCUCUCUGGACUGUAACUGACGCUGAGGCACGAAAGCGUGGGGAGCAAACAGGAUUAGAUACCCUGGUAGUCCACGCUGUAAACGAUGAGUACUAGGUGUCGGGGGUUACCCCCUUCGGUGCCGCAGCUA
rnacentral:rRNA from 1 species